ensembl:lncRNA
CCUUAGGUCACAUGGAGUGUCUCCCAGCUUUGUGAUUCUGCAGUUGUUCAAACUGGAUUUUGCCAAGUCUGUGAUGAGCUGGAAGCCACAUAGUGGAGAGUCAGAACCACCUCCUCAAGUUGUCCUCUGACCUCCACAGGCAAGUCAUGGCAUACGCACAUACUCCCAUAAAUAAACAGGGUCUUUCACUGACACUGGAGCUCACCAAUUCAGCUAGACUGACUGGCCACUGAGCCUCAGGAAUCCUCUUGUCUCCACCUUCCCCGAGCUGGGAUUACAGAUAUGUACUGCUAUAUUCAGAAUUUUUCUACAGGGGUGCUGAGGAUUUAACUCAGUUACUGGUGCUUGCACAUGGAGAAUUUUAUCAUCUGAGCCACCUCUCUAGUGUAGUAUCUAACUUGUUCUUAAUUCUAAAACAUGUUAUAUGUAUAAAUGGUUGCCUGCAAGUAUGUAUGUGCUCCAGGCGCCUUCCUGGUACCAAAAGAUACAAGAAAAGGGUGUUGGAACCCACUGGGACUAGAGUUAUAGAUGGUUAUGGGCCACUAUGUGGGUACUGGGAAUUGAACCCAGGUCUUUUGCACUAACAGAAAGUACUCCUAACCACUAAGCCAUCUGUCCAGCCCCAAGACCUAAUUUUUAAACCUGUUUUCCAAGGUUUUCUAGAAUCUGGCCUCCAUCUACUUCACUUACUUUUCUCUACCUUCAGUAUCAUAAAUUUCUAUUUACCACCUCCAGUGGAUGACUUUUCUAAAUAAAUACAAAGCUUCCCCUUCACUCUGUAACUUUGUUCCCUCUAUCCCUCUUUUGUGCUGGGAUUAAAGGCAUGGGACACCACUGCCCGGCCUCUCUAUCCCUCUUAUGUUAAGUUCUUCUCUAAUUUCUAAAUGUCUAAAAUAUGUACUUUCUCAAAUCUACACUGUCUGCUACACUUGUCCCAUGAGGAAAAAGGACUUCUUGGAGGAUGCUGAAGGCUGUCAGUUCUCCCAACUGAGCUUUCUAAAGUGUUUGGCUGUGUAACAAAUCACUGCUUGGAGAAGUUAGAAUCUUGGUCAGUACGAUGAUCUUUCAACUAGCAGUUUGAGGGAAAAUGAACAGUCAAUAUAAAAUUUGGUUGAAUGGAAAAUUGAAUUUUUUCCCUCAGAAAUCAAGGAAGGCUCAAUGUAGAAGCUUUUUAUUCUCAUCUUUCUCCUUUCAUCCUUUACUGCGGUUCAUGAAAAUGUAAGAUUAAGAGAAACUCUGGUCUCUGAAAACAACCAUUGUCUUGUUUUAUCACCCAGGCUUCCUUCCUCCCAAGAUCCACCUCCUUGUGGCCUACUUUACCAGCAGAUGUCAUAAGCUCAGGAGGGAGAGAUAUAAUUUUGAUAUUAACUUGAAUUAAGAAAAAAGAAAUGUAAUUAAAAAGUGGAUCUUCUGUCUUAAAAAGCAAACUUUUUAAAAGAUAGCAUAUUCUGCAAACAAAGCCCUUCCUGUGUUUUCUGUUGCAGGGUAUCUGUGCUACCAUGCCCAUCUCUGGGCAGAUGGAGAAGUGAGAAUUGAUGCAAUAAAGCCUUGCUUUGUUUGCUCACAAAGCACGAUGCUUUCUUUCCAUUCUGCUUACUUGCUCAGCACUGGUCCUGAGAAUGGGGACAGAGAAGAUAAGCCAAGGUUCACCCAAGCCAAGGAUAGAUAUAGUGGGAACAGAGUGUCAAGAAUUCUCUCCGUUCAGUGACAGCAUAUAGGGGAAGACUCAGUGGCACUUUUUCCCUGACUCUCUAGUGGCCUCCAGCCCCUACCUGUGCCACUUAGUGACUGCACCACCACAGGCAAAUCUGCCAUUUCUUUCUCAGCUAAGAAAGUCACGUAACACCCACUACAAUAGAAUCAUGCAGACUUAGUAAAUUGUGAAGUGCUGCCCAACUACAAAUUCAAAACUACCUAUUUUUUCCCAUUCCUCUACCUUGGAUUUACAAGCAUCUUUGGAGGCCCAGUAGUAAGUAUUUUCAUUUUUGCAGGGUACACUGACUCUGUCAUAACUUCUUAAAGUUUUCUAGUAGAAAGUAGUAGUUAUAGACAACAUGUCGAUGGAUGGAAUUCUGUUGCAGUAAAACUUUGUAAAAACUAUGGUUGACCAGAUUUGGCCAAUGGGCCAUCCAAGCCAAAUCUCUGCCCUACAUGUUUGGUAAGAACAAAACAUCUGAGGUAGAGAGAGAACUAUCUGAAUUUGUUUUCUGGCAUAAAGAAUGAAACUGUUGAAUUUUGUGACACUUCCAGAUGUCUCCUUAAGGUACCAUUUUAAAUUAGGGUCUCAACCCCAUCUAGUAUCUUCACCACCAUCAGGAAAGGCAUAAAACAAUCCAAAUUUUCUAGACCUUCCUCUGGACCACACUCUUCUCUGGGAAAGACAGCUCUGAUAUUGUUAAAGAAAAUAUCAAUCACACUUGUGGUAAAAGGUCACUACGUUUUUUUAAACAAAUUGGUCCUUUGAGAAAGAUGAAUUUUAAUGGAUUGGUUUAUUAACCUAAAGGUUGAACCAGACUGAGAGUAACUAAAUGAUUUGUUCAUAAUUAGUAUUAUUUAUAAGUAUUUUGCUUGGGAAAAAUAUCACCUUAAAUGUCAGGAUGCUUUUUUUUUUAAUUGCCUCAGAUGAGAUUCAAAAUAAUUGACUUUGCAAAUGUAUUUUUUAAAAAGUCAUUUAAAAAUAUCUGAAACUGCUGACAGUUUGUCUAGAAGAGGCAACAUAUCGAUAUUCAUUACUAUGGACCGAGCAGAAAUUGAUCCAUGAUUUUUUGAAGCUAUGUGAACUGUGGUCACUUCUGUAUUCUAAAACAGUUGAAAUGCUGAGGGAGGGUUACAUAUUCUUACUCUCCGUCAAAUCUGCACUUUGAGUGCACUAUGUGAAUAUUUACACACAGCUUUCAUUAAAUGCAGGAUGGACAUAUUUGAAAGGGGAAAACAUAUAUGUGCUUGAACACACAUAUGUACACAUAUAUGCGCGUGCAUAUGCGUGUGUGUGUGUUUGAUACUUUUAGAAAAAUACAGUUUUCUAUAUAUUGUAUACAUGGAUAGAUAUUAACUUUUGGAGCUGAGUAGGUGUGGGACUUAAAUCUAGCCUCUAUAAAUAUUCACUCCAUCUAUUGUUUGUUGGCGGUGUAGAGAACUAGGGGAAACUACCUUUUGUUAGUAGCUGGAACAAAAGUUUAAAAUAAUUUCAAGUGUGGGGCAAUCAAUAGAAGAGGCUCACUGGAGUCUUGAUGACAGUACGGCGCUAGCUAAGUCACAAACUGUUAAUGUCUGCAGGUCAAUGGUGAUCUUCAAAUGGACAUUGAGGUGCAAGGAGGAAGAUCUGUGAAAACUCUAAGGGACAGAUAAAGAUAACAAAUGCUUUACCAAUGUUCUACACUGCCUUCUCCAUAUGCCACACUGCCACUCAAAACUGAGGGAAAGAAGAAAGAAUACAGCUACAGGUGUCAGAGCCAGCUAAAGUUCUCCUCAGUGACCUCCACCAGCCUGACCCAGGCCGCAGACCCAACUUUAUGUCUGACACAUUUCAUUUCAGUGAGAAAAAAUUGCAAGUGACCUGGAAAGAACAUUCUAGAAAGGGGGGAGAGUGACAGGAUUAUUACUAUCACAGUCUGUCAUUUCUUUCUUCCAAAUAGUCCGACCAUAUGCCCAAGACAUGAUAUUGACUCCUGUGUCCAGGACACAGAAAACUCACUCCCCCAGGCACCAUGUAGACGCCAUCAAUCAUUUAUCUGCAUGAGAAAUAGAGCUGAGGCUGGAAAAAGAAUAUUUGAUUCUGUCAAAAAAAAAAAAGGAGUGAAUAUGAAGUGUCUCGUUUAUCAAAGAGAUUAGUUUUAAAAGUCUGGGGAGUUACAUGUGUAAAUUGUCCAAAAAUUGUAGAAUAAGAUAUGAGGGUAGAUUUGCAUGUAUACCGUCCUCUUCAGGACUCGGCAAACUCCCUGCUGAGAAUAGCAAGGUUCUAUUAACUGAUUAAUUAUUAUUAAUGCCAACUUUUAUUUAGCUAGCAAUUAUAAUCUAUUAAGAGCAUUUCUUCACAUCCUCUUACUUAUUCAGUCCUCGGAACAAUCUGUGAAGCUCGUCAGUAAUAUAUUAUUAUCUCCCUUUUUAGACAAAGGAAAGGGAAACUCUGGGGUUUCCUUGCUUAGGCUAAUGCCGACAGUAAGUGGCAAGUUCUAGACUAGAAAACAGAAUUUCUGAUUGCUGGUCCACUUCCUAGAGCGGCUGUGGAAGAUCCAAAGGAAGAAAGGGAAAGUGGGAAGCAUUGGUUGAGAGUGGAAAGAACCUAGAAAAGCCGGCAGACCAGAAUUCCUCCUAGUUUAGGUCAAAGUGGGAGUAGGUGUGGCUAUAUGACACACAACUCGAAAGAUUUGAUGCACUGUGAGGCACAUCUACCCACUCUCAACUUCCUUAUGCAACUGGACAUUCCACGUUGGCCUCCCACCCACCCUUUUAAAGUCAAGUUUCUUAAGCAGCCUAGUUGGAACCAACUUCAGACUGAUAUCUAUUCCCAAGCCCUCCCUCUCUCAGACCGCAACCUUUUUUCUCUCUUUUGUCGUCUUUUGAGCAACCACACCCCUGACCCUCCUCCCUUCCUUGAUGUUCUUAAUCAAUGCCCCUCUGCACUCCUUCCCCCUUAAACUCUGCUGACAGCUCUCCUUCUGGUCUAUCCAUUUUCCCAGGUCAGGAGCUCUGGGCCUCUUUACCCAUAAGCCCCCUGGUCAUCCUCCCUCUGGCUCUCACCUGUACUCCACAGCCACAGGCACCUCCUGGUCGCCCCUCAGCUGUCUUCCUUCUGUCGGUCUGAGGACUCCAGCCUCCCUCCAGGGCCUACAAGCUGGAGCUGUGCAGUCUCCAGGCUCUUCGUUAUUUCACUUCUUGGUUCACAGCGCUAGUAAAUAACAACAUACAAUAAAAGAUGGUCUCAGCUAUGUUUCUCGACUGCAGCCUCCAGCAGUGUUAUCUCAGGCCCCAACAUUGCAACAAAGAAAUCUCACAGUUGGGUUAGUGAGAACCAGUACAGGACAGGAGCAGAAAACUUCAGCGCUUCCCCAACAGCUCAGCCCCAGCUGCCCUCCAGGGGCUCCCCCUAGUGGGAGAUGCUGAGCAUGGCAGGUCAGGUCUUGAUUUGGGAUCGUGUCUUCGGGUGGGAGGAGGGGAGUGAUGCAAAGGAGAGAGCAACACUGUGUUCUCUGUGAGCGAGCUGCAGCCUCUGUGUGAAUUGCAGGGCGGAGGUCCUCUGAAAUCAAUCAGGGAAAUCCUUUGGAAAGCCAGAGUUCUUGGGAUCUGAAAGUCUCUGAGUUUAGGUGGAAAUGGUCUAAGUAUUAAAUUAGCUUACAGGGCUUAAACUGUAUAAGGGACAAGGUGAUUGGCAAUCAUUUGCUGCUGCUACUGCAGCACGUCCACUUUGAACUGGUAAAAAGGGAUCUCAAAGCCACACUGUCACACACAUGGCUGUUCUGGAGAGACAGGCAUAGUCUCUGAAGUCUGAGAAAAGCAUACUAGUCCAGUCUCCUGGGCUCUCUUGGCCUUUUGGUGUCAUAGGAACCUGGGCUACUUUCUGCCGCCCAGUGUGACGAAUACAGACUGCAUAUCCAAAUAGCAUCUUUCUCCGCAGAGAUGCAAUCUCAUUCAUUCUAACCUACCCAGCAGGCAGAUAGGAAAUAAGAAGCCGAUUAUUCUCUUUUGCAAAGAGGCAAACAAGUGAUGCUUCCAGUUCCACCAGGCAAACCAUCAGAAGAGGGAACAUCGGGACUGGGUUUCCUGACAUCUUCCCUCCCAGGACAUCCAGACAGUGUUCCACCUCUGGAGAUGAGGGGAAUAAAGAUUGAUUUCAACCUCAGGGCAGGGCAGGGUAGUGAGCUGCACCCCUCAGCAACCGAGAUUGGCUCGCCCCACACCCCAGUGUGAGGAGAGUGUGCAGAGCUGAACAUGAUGCAGAGAGAGGGACCCAGUCUGAUGCUGCAGACAAGAGUUCAAUUCAUCAUUAUGUCAAAUUGGGAAAGGAAGCGAUAGGACCAGCGGGAAGCUUUUUAUUUACCAGUAACAGGUAGUAAGGGUAAAUGAAUAAAAAGACCUUACAGGGUGAUGACAGUGAGUUGGUGUUGACUAGGUAACCACAUGCUUUGUGAUACAAUCACCAUCAGACCAGUUGGGAGACCUUAAAUGUGAGAUUAGAAGAGCCCUGUUUCACUGAUAAAGAAACUGAGAUCCGGUUGGUUAAUGGACCAGCUUGUGAUCAAAUCAAAAUCUCUGAAAGCUUAGAACCCAUUUCACAUGCCAUAGUGCUAUAUGGGCUCUUCUAGCUAUCCUGGGUGGGGUGAGAAAUCAAUAUAAAAUACUCCUAUUUACUCAGCAAACCAAAUCACAAGCCAAGUCUCACCCAUCUCUAUUAAAUCCCACUGUCAUUCUGAUGUUGGGAGUAGCACUGCACUGAACCAUGUGGGAAGCUUGAACUUGGUAUAAAAUGGUAAAGUUAUGUUGCUUAAGAACCACACCUACUUUAUGGGCUCUUUCUCCCCUGACAACAUGGACACUAUGGGAAUUAGCUUCCAAAUAGUAACAACAACCCAUGAAAAAGAAGCUUAUGGUGGUGGUGAUGAUGAUGAAGAGGAAAAGUCAGUUAAUGAUAUGGUUAUUGACCACAGAGUCAAUUAUUAUUGCUUAGAUCUGUCCUGAGACCUUGGGUUGAGCACGUGUUCAACGACUCUGACUAUACUUAAGUUCUGUUAUAAAUAAACAUCAAACAAAAAAGAGAGAGAUUUAAAGGUGGGCAUGGUAAUGCAGGCCUAUAAUUACAGAAUGCAGGUGGUGAAGGCAAGAGGAUUAGGGGUUCAAGCCCAACUUCAGCUACAUAGCAAGUUGGAGACUAGCCAAUGCUGCAUAAGACGCUCCACCCAGAAAAGAUGAAAAGUCAAAGAAAGGUAAGAAAGCUGCAAAAGCACAAAUAUUACGGUCUAUUCAAAUGUGUCUUCAGCUAAGAUUUAGUCACACUCUACGAUAGAGUUGGCAUCCAAAUCUAAAAACACUGCUCAAGGUGUAAGUGUCAUGUGUAUUGAGCAUAGAGGGAAUGGCAGAUCAAUGGUAGACAGUCAAGGAAGUAGAUGAGAAAGUGGGGCAACUAUUAUUCCCUUGGAGCUAUUUGGAUCAUCCAUUUCUGCUUUAGACCUCACCAGGCAAAAUGGGGUGGACUGAGGAUUCAGCAACCAGCUUCUCCAAAAGAUGUG